CCCCGGGCUGCAACUGUUCCCAGGCUGGGGCGAUUGCCCUCACCCCUGAACUUUCCUCUUCUCGGCCGCCCUCCUUUUCCGUUGUCCCUUCGCGCCCCAAACCACAUCCUGGAGCGCACUUGCCCGCGCGGCCUGCAGCGGAGACGGUGCGCCCGAGGCGUGGGCCUUACAGUCGCGUGCGCGGCCCCUUUUUCCAUCCCCCGCCCGGGCCCACCCUCGGGCCGCGCUGAUUGGGCAGGUAGGGACUCUGCCCAGCGGAAAGUUUUGGGUGCCGGGAGGAAGUUCAACCUUUGGGAGACUCCAAGACAGCAGCUCCGGGGUCGGCGGGGGUCUGGGUGGCCAUGGAGGAGCCCCCUGUGCGAGAAGAGGAAGAAGAGGAGGGAGAGGAGGACGAGGAGAGGGACGAGGCUGAGGACGAGGAGAGGGACGAGGCUGGGCCCGAAGGGGCGCUGGGCAAGAGCCCCUUCCAGCUGACCGCCGAGGACGUGUAUGACAUCUCCUACCUGUUGGGCCGCGAACUUAUGGCCCUGGGCAGCGACCCCCGGGUGACGCAGCUGCAGUUCAAAGUCGUCCGCGUCCUGGAGAUGCUGGAGGCGCUGGUGAAUGAGGGCAGCCUGGCGCUGGAGGAGCUGAAGAUGGAGAGGGACAACCUCAGGAAGGAGGUGGAGGGGCUGCGGAGACAGGACCCUCCGACCAGCGGGGAGGUGAACCUGAGCCCAAACAAAAUGGUGGUUGACUUGACAGAUCCCAACCGACCCCGCUUCACUCUGCAGGAGCUAAGGGAUGUGCUGCAGGAACGCAACAAACUCAAGUCGCAGCUGCUGGUGGUGCAGGAAGAGCUGCAGUGCUACAAGAGUGGCCUGAUUCCACCAAGAGAAGGCCCAGGAGGAAGAAGAGAAAAAGAUGCUGUGGUUACUAGGGCCAACAAUGCUGGCAGGAACAAGGAGGAGAAGACAAUCAUAAAAAAGCUGGAGGGAAACUGAUGCACAAGGAGACUACGUACCUGCCCAAGUUACACAGCAGUGGAUUGGAAGCAGAGGUUCUGUUCCAGCAGCCACACGCCCCCUCCAAGUAUACAGAUAAGGAAACCAAAGAACUCAAGAGUUCUAGAAAACAUGCUCAAAAUCACAUCAGUACGCUUUUCUGGUUCCCCAGGAGGACGCUUACCAAAGCUGAGACUCAUGUUGGUGUGACACAGUCAAAUUGUAAAAACAGAAAGACACACAGGUGGCCUUGCCUGGCAAUAAAUAUUUUAAUUUUUGUUUCAUUUUUAUGAUGACAAAUAAUUUUCAAGUUUAUUUCCUUGUUUAAAUACAAAGCUAAACCACAAAUAGGUAUAAUCGACAUUGUGUCUCACAUUUACACUCCUGUCGGAUCCUCUCCCAAUUUGCUGACCGCUGGCCAGGCUAGCGGGGGGUGGGGGGAAGACUUUCUUAGGUAGCACCGCCGUGAGGUCCAAGGUGGGGUUGGGGGGAAUCAAAGACUAGGACGGGCUCUCAUACCUGUCUCCAUUCACAUUUACCUGGGACCAGGGUAGGCAGGAGACACCAGGUCAUGGAUCCUGAGCCCUGGCCCCCUGGGCUGAAGGGACAGAGAGUGAGGAUCAGUUCUGUGAAGGAUGGGAGGAGGCAGCCACCUACUCCUCCUGCCUUCACAGUUAAGGUGAAAACCUUAGCCCUAUCUGUGAUUCCUGGGGGCCGCCAGGCCCUGUGUGCUCCCCUGCACACCUGGGUGCCUUUCUGAGGCUGGCAGCAGCGGCUGGGGUCAGGGGUCCUGGGCUCCUAGGCUCACACCUCAGCUCCCAGUUGCGUCCUUACAGAAGGAUGCCGGGUGUCUGACAAACACAAGGCCUUGACAGCAGGUCUGGAACCUUCAACCCCAGCAGGAUGAGGGGAAAUGGGGGUGGAUGUUAGGUAAGUAAUUUCUGGUCCCACUACAAAACUUUAUUUUUGAUUAGAGUACCAUUCUCAAUCUCUUCUACAAAAAGCAAAAAAAAAAGCAAAAGCAAAAGAAAAGAAAAGCAGCCACUUCACUCACUUCAAGACCUAUAUACAUGUAAGUUGUUUUCUGUGGUUUUUUUUUUUAAUUUUUAUUUUUUUUUUAAUUUUUAUAAUUUUUUUUAAAAUAAAUUCAGUGUUCACAUUUCUAUAAAGAAUUAACCCAGUUUCAGGAAACCCUGCCCCCGCAGGGCAGGUAAGCAACACUCUCCCUGCCCACAUCUAAUUCGAUUUCGCGCCCUGAUGCUUCAAGGUGCCCAGAAAAGCGGCAGCUUGUGGAAGAGGAAAUCUAUGCCCGGCCCAGGCUCGGGGCCCAGGGCUCAGUAAGCUUUCGAGAAAGCAGAGGGGAAGACUAGUUUACUGCAAAACCUUUUUAAAAAAUAUUCAUACACUUCAGUGAGCGCCUGUCGAGACGUUAGGAGAACAAGAGCUUGGAAACAUCCCGUCCAGGCCAUUGGGAGGCAGCGUCUUCCUCACACCCCGUCCCUGGAUGUCAGGGGUGCAGGGGGAAGGUCCCGGCUCUUCCACUGGAGAAAGGAGACUCACCUGGCUUCCUAGUUCAUGUUUGACUCUUUCCUCUAAAACCUGUGCUGAGUCUUUGACUGCAUGCACGGGAAGCACAAACGUUCGGCUUGUAUGCAAAAAAA